rnacentral:rRNA from 1 species
AAACUUUAAACAACGGUAGUCUCUUGGUUCUCUGCGAUCGUAUAAAGAACGCAGCGAAAUGCGAUAAGUAAUAUGAAUUGCAGAUUUUCGUGAAUCAUCGAAUCUUUGAACGCACAUUGCGCCCUUUGGUAUUCCAAAGGGCAUGCCUGUUUUGAGCGUCAUUU